rnacentral:lncRNA from 10 species
AAAGAAAGUAGGUUGAAAGAAAUGUUUGGGCCAGACGCAAUGGCUCAUGCCUAUAAUCUCAGCACUUUGGGGGGCCGAGGCAGGAGGAUCACUUGAGGUCAGGAGUUCGAGACCAGCCUGGCCAACAUGGUGAAACCCCAUCUAUAAUAAAAAUACAAAAAUUCGCUGGGCAUGGUGGCACAUGCCUGUAAUCCUAGCCACUCAGGAGGCUGAGGCAAGAGAAUCACUUGAACCUGGCAGGCAGAGGUUGCAGUGAACCAAGAUCACGCUGUUGCACUGCAGCCUGGACGACAAAGCAAGACUCCGUCUCAAAAAAAAAAAAAGAAAGAAAUGUUUGGCAUGAAAAACCAUUUCCUAAGUGUCAGACAUCUAUCUGUGAAUUAUGUGUAUGGCUCCAAAAGUAGAAGACUCAGUGGUAUGCUUGUUACAAUUGUUAGUGUUUUGGUAUGCUGGAGUUAGCCCAUCAGAUAUUCAUGUGAAAGCUCACACUACUGGGAGAAAAUUAAACAAACAAAAAUCUACCUUGAAAAUGUCAUGCCUUAACAUUCUCCUUUGGAAAUACUGUACAAAGAUAAUAUAAAACAUCUAAAAAUAACGCAUAUUUUAAAAAGAUUUGAAAAAAGAAUACAUUUUCACAGUUUGAGAAGUUGAUUCUUGUUAUGCAAACUUGAACAUUUAUUUUUGAGGGGUGGGAUGCCUGGGAAAAUUACAGAUUGUAGGAGUUGUUUAUGGAAGUUACAAAAAGGGACUCUGAUGAUUAUUUCAUGCCAUUUUUGAAUGUGAGAAAUAAAUAUGUCAAUAUUUAUUAUGAAAAUAGCAUAAGGAAGAUUUCCAUGCAUAUAGAGAGGGU